GAUGAACGCUGGCGGCGUGCCUAAUACAUGCAAGUCGAGCGAACAGACGAGGAGCUUGCUCCUCUGACGUUAGCGGCGGACGGGUGAGUAACACGUGGAUAACCUACCUAUAAGACUGGGAUAACUUCGGGAAACCGGAGCUAAUACCGGAUAAUAUAUUGAACCGCAUGGUUCAAUAGUGAAAGCCGGUUUUGCUGUCACUUAUAGAUGGAUCCGCGCCGCAUUAGCUAGUUGGUAAGGUAACGGCUUACCAAGGCAACGAUGCGUAGCCGACCUGAGAGGGGGAUCGGCCACACUGGAACUGGAACACGGUCCAGACUCCUACGGGAGGCAGCAGUAGGGAAUCUUCCGCAAUGGGCGAAAGCUUGACGGAGCAACGCCGCGUGAGUGAUGAAGGUCUUCGGAUCGUAAAACUCUGUUAUUAGGGAAGAACAAAUGUGUAAGUAACUAUGCACGUCUUGACGGUACCUAAUCAGAAAGCCACGGCUAACUACGUG
rnacentral:rRNA from 1 species